GAUGAACGCUGGCGGCGUGCCUAAUACAUGCAAGUCGAGCGAAUGGAUUAAGAGCUUGCUCUUAUGAAGUUAGCGGCGGACGGGUGAGUAACACGUGGGUAACCUGCCCAUAAGACUGGGAUAACUCCGGGAAACCGGGGCUAAUACCGGAUAACAUUUUGAACCGCAUGGUUCGAAAUUGAAAGGCGGCUUCGGCUGUCACUUAUGGAUGGACCCGCGUCGCAUUAGCUAGUUGGUGAGGUAACGGCUCACCAAGGCAACGAUGCGUAGCCGACCUGAGAGGGUGAUCGGCCACACUGGGACUGAGACACGGCCCAGACUCCUCCGGGCGGCAGCAGUAGGGAAUCUUCCGCAAUGGACGAAAGUCUGACGGAGCAACGCCGCAUGAGUGAUGAAGGCUUUCGGGUCGUAAAACUCUGUUGUUAGGGAAGAACAAGUGCUAGUUGAAUAAGCUGGCACCUUGACGGUACCUAACCAGAAAGCCACGGCUAACUACGUGCCAGCCGCCGCAGUAA
rnacentral:rRNA from 1 species